rnacentral:rRNA from 1 species
GAUGAACGCUGGCGGCGUGCCUAAUACAUGCAAGUCGAGCGAACGGACGAGAAGCUUGCUUUUCUGAUGUUAGCGGCGGACGGGUGAGUAACACGUGGAUAACCUACCUAUAAGACUGGGAUAACUUCGGGAAACCGGAGCUAAUACCGGAUAAUAUUUUGAACCGCAUGGUUCAAAAGUGAAAGACGGUCUUGCUGUCACUUAUAGAUGGAUCCGCGCUGCAUUAGCUAGUUGGUAAGGUAACGGCUUACCAAGGCAACGAUGCAUAGCCGACCUGAGAGGGUGAUCGGCCACACUGGAACUGAGACACGGUCCAGACUCCUACGGGAGGCAGCAGUAGGGAAUCUUCCGCAAUGGGCGAAAGCCUGACGGAGCAACGCCGCGUGAGUGAUGAAGGUCUUCGGAUCGUAAAACUCUGUUAUUAGGGAAGAACAUAUGUGUAAGUAACUGUGCACAUCUUGACGGUACCUAAUCAUAAAGCCACGGCUAACUACGUG